UGGUUAAGGACAUAAAAUAAAUCAAAAGAGACAAAGAAACCAAAAAAAGGAAACUAAUAGCCCUAACCACGGCUGCGGCUGCUCACGGAGAGACUAGGGAGCCGUGCCCAAAAAUUAGAAAAUAGCCCUCUGGUGGUCGAGGAAGCUAAGGAAAAAAUAAGACAAACAGUGGAAGAUUGUUUAAAUAUUUUUGGAAAUAAAGACGGCGUGUAUAAAUUGAUGAUUUAGAUCCCCAAACUAUGGGCGGGUCUCAAAGUAAUAUAUUUUUCAAGCUUAUCGAUAUCAAUUGAAUGAGAAUAAAUCCCAAUAAACUUGGCUGGCAAAAUUGAAACUUCCGCACCUCAUGCACGCAUUAGGGACGAUUAUUGAAUAGCCUUUGGAAAAUAACAAAAAGCAAAAACACGUAAUCAAGGACAAAAUUUGGGGAAAAUCAAAAAGUAACGGGCACUAGGCAGAAGUAACAAAAAGGCGGGAAAAUUUUUACAGCAAACAGACAUUAAAGGAUACUACAAAGAAACCAAAGAUGAGACACAGAACAUAGAAAGCAGGGAGCAAAAGAAUUAGAAAGAGAGUAAAAACGGAGCAAGGAAAAUAAAGGCUAAUUUCAAUAUAAUUUGCAAUCACAAAAAUAAAAGGAAUUCUACUCUCACCAUUGGUACGAAAGCAAAUAACAAAAUCUCAACUGAUUAUGUAGCUCAGUGUGGGCUACAUAAUAGCCGGAU